rnacentral:rRNA from 1 species
GGUCUAUUGUGGAAGGGACAAUGAAAGGAGGGAUCCGUUGGGUGCAUGCGCUGGAGGGAGAGAGAGCACAGGAGAAGGUAGAUUCGGCGGCGGUGUUCGUAGCGGUCGCCCUCUCCUCGAUCGAGGCAAGAGGGUGGUUGAAGCAGCGGUGUUCUCUACUCUCCCAGCCUCCUCUUCCGCCGCCGCCGCAACCAAAGCUAGACACUAGACGGAGCUACACCCUCCGCCGCCUAGCUAAGCCAGCUUCAACAACAGCCUCCACGACCCACCAUCCUCGUGGUGGGCUGCCGGGACCACUUGCUGCUACCCCGGUGGACUCCUCCCGCCGCUCAAACAACUGCUGACGUUGCUCUCGAGCAGCCUAGGCAGUAGCCGCAGCAAGAAGACGAACUCUGUCGGCAGCAGAUGCACUGGAGGAGCGGCGGUGCCCACCUGCGACUAAACAGUAUGUGCUUGUUCCUUGUGUGCCGACCUCUUGUACUGUACCUCCUAGACCUAGGACCGUUUAUUCCUCCUCCUACUCUUGACUUCGUACCUAGACAUGAUACGAUAGACCUAAACACUAGAAUAAGUACCUUUGUCACUUUUAUCGCUCAUGGCCAGUAAUAAACCAGGGUCAUACGUGUCGAAUUAAAUUAAAAGUAAAACGUUUAAGUUUCCACCGACUCCUGACACUAAAACACCUGGAUGGUCAGGGAUCCUUUAAUUCUAGUACAUGACUAACGACAGAGUAUUUUGAUCCUUGUACCUGUUGAAACAGGGAAAGAGAAAGGUAGAAAUGGAUAACUAAACGACUAACGUAUCCUCGUACACACCUUUUACCAAAAGUUUAAACUACCGAUUGGUUGUUUAUAUAAACACACAAAAUGUUUGAUUAUAACAUUAUAAAAAAUUGUUGUUUAGAUUGAAUUGGACAGAGACUUACAUAAUAACUACAAUCACAAAGAUUGGAGCCCUGUAAGUGCGUAACCUACAAAAGAAUUCGGUAACCGUCUCGUGGUUUAAGUGUAGAGUUAUAACUCAGAGGAUGAAAGUCCAAAAUCGGUAUGUGUUAGUACGGCCAGCCUGGCAAGGGAGCAGUGACGCCGUACGGUUCUUCUCCGUUGUAGAAAGUCGAUAUUCACGAGUCUAAAAAGACUGCCCAGUACUUUGUUCUUGGCUACUCUGCUACUCAACGUUUGGAAGGACUUUAACACAUGUUCUGGAUUUCUGGGUUGCCAGACCAGAAAGGGUAAGAACCGGUAGCCCUCCUUCGUCUCGUCGACGGUCGCCGGCCCCUCCACCCCGCCACCUACUCUCCUUCGCCGACGCUCGUGCGUGGCCAACACGUGGAGCUCCCUCCUAACCCACCCUCCUCUCCACCACCGCCAUCAAAGUUAUACACUAGACGGUGGCCGCGGCGGUGUUCCUACCUACCGUUCUAGUCUCCACUCGGGGGAGGGCACGCGGCCGCAGCCACUCCCAGCCCUCGUGGUGGUUCGGCAAGGCGCCAGGCGGAGGCCGAAGAGACUAGUUACUCGUUGUAGAGAUAUUGACUUAUGUUAUUACUUCGACGUAAACAAAAGUACCUACCGAGAAGAGAGUAGUCCGUCGUGGUUUAACCCAACAGACUGUACGAAACGUUACAAUCACGACCAGACUUCGAAAAGAUCUUCGUAAACACACAAGAGUACGAGUCCUCAAUGUUCCUCGUUACCACGAUACCAGAUAUUGAAGGUGAGUAGAAGAUGGCUUCUUACUAGGAAUCGAAUCAAUGAAUCGAACUACAGAAAAAAGCUCCUAUCCAAACCUCAACGUAGGCGAAAACAGAUCCAACCAUGAAGCUGGUCUUAAGCGUACUGUGAUAUACGGUUCUAAUCAACAACAUGAAGGAGAUUACGUACUGACUUACCUUUGCUGACUAAAUAAAAAGAACAUUAUACACUUGGUACAUGACGUAGUUGUGAGUUACAUCUAGCACGAAAGUUAACCGACUCGUGUUCUUGUUAACUGUAUAACACAUAGUGGUUAUCGU